CUUGACGCAACACUCUUCGGAGUGCCAAGUAAGUAAUACCAAACUUCCAGGAAAAGCCACUAAGCUUCAGUUGAAUAAGGACCGUACCGCAAACCGACACAGGUGGGUAGGAUGAAAAUUCUAAGGCGCUUGAGAGAACUCAGGAGAAGGAACUCGGCAAAAUUGCACCGUAACUUCGGAAUAAGGUGUGCCUUUGGUAUGUGUAAUGCUUUACGCAUGAAGCAGAAAAAGGUUGCAAAAAAUAGGUGGCUGCGACUGUUUAAUAAAAACAUAGCACUCUGCAAACACGUAAGUGGACGUAUAGAGUGUGACGCCUGCCCGGUGCCGGAAGGUUAAAUGAUGGGGUGCAAGCUCUUGAUUGAAGCCCCGGUAAACGGCGGCCGUAACAAUAACGGUCCUAAGGUAGCGAAAUUCCUUGUCGGGUAAGUUCCGACCUGCACGAAUGGCGUAACGAUGGCCACGCUGUCUUCUCCUGGGACUCAGCGAAUUUGAAAUGUUUGUGAAGAUGCAAUCUUCCCGCGGCUAGACGGAAAGACCCCGUGCACCUUUACUGUAGCUUUACAUUGGAUUUUGAUAGCAUCUGUGUAGAAUAGGUGGGAGACUUUGAAGUGGAUUCGCUAGAAUUCAUGGAGUCAUCGUUGAAAUACCACUCUGAUGUUGUCGGGAUUCUAACCUAAAUCCAUUAUCUGGAUUGGGGACCGUGUAUGGUAGGCAGUUUGACUGGGGCGGUCUCCUCCCAAAUUGUAACGGAGGAGUACGAAGGUACGCUAGGUACGGUCGGAAAUCGUGCUGAUAGUGCAAUGGCAAAAGCGUGCUUAACUGCGAGACUGACAAGUCGAGCAGAUGCGAAAGCAGGUCAUAGUGAUCCGGUGGUUCUGUAUGGAAGGGCCAUCGCUCAACGGAUAAAAGGUACGCCGGGGAUAACAGGCUGAUUCCUCCCAAGAGUUCAUAUCGACGGGGGAGUUUGGCACCUCGAUGUCGGCUCAUCACAUCCUGGGGCUGUAGCCGGUCCCAAGGGUAUGGCUGUUCGCCAUUUAAAGUGGUACGUGAGCUGGGUUUAAAACGUCGUGAGACAGUUUGGUCCCUAUCUGCCGUGGGCGUUGGAAGUUUGAGUGGGGCUGCUUCUAGUACGAGAGGACCGAAGUGGACGCACCUCUGGUGUACCGGUUAUAACGCCAGUUGUAUUGCCGGGUAGCUAAGUGCGGGAAAGAUAACCGCUGAAAGCAUCUAAGCGGGAAACUUGCCACAAGAUAAGACUUCCCGAGGGUUAAACCCUCCUAAAGGUUCGUUGAAGACUACAACGUUAAUAGGUCGAAUGUGUAAGCGUAGUAAUACGUUAAGCUAAUCGAUACUAAUUGACCGUGCGACUUGAUC
rnacentral:rRNA from 1 species